UCUCUGAUAGCUCAGUUGGUAAAGAGUCUGCCUGCAAUGCAGAAGACCCUGGUUCGAAUCCUGGGUUGGGAA
rnacentral:tRNA from 1 species